GGGAAGGUAGCUCAGUGGUAGAGUGCUUGCCUUGCAUGCAUGAGGCCCUGGGUUCGAUUCCUCAGCACCCCA
rnacentral:tRNA from 1 species